rnacentral:rRNA from 1 species
UCGAACGGAUCCUUCGGGAUUAGUGGCGGACGGGUGAGUAACACGUGGGAACGUGCCCUUUGGUUCGGAACAACUCAGGGAAACUUGAGCUAAUACCGGAUGUGCCCUUCGGGGAAAGAUUUAUCGCCAUUGGAGCGGCCCGCGUCUGAUUAGCUAGUUGGUAGGGUAAAGGCCCACCAAGGCGACGAUCAGUAGCUGGUCUGAGAGGAUGAUCAGCCACAUUGGGACUGAGACACGGCCCAA